UGAGUACGAGCUGCUACGGCAGCGAAGUGGGUGAUGUCAAGCUUCCAAGAAAAGCCCUAUACCCGUUAAGGCAUGAUGGCCUGUACCCGAAACCGACACAGGUGGGGUGGUAGAGAAUACCGAGGGGCGCGAGAUAACUCUCUCUAAGGAACUCGGCAAAAUGGCCCCGUAACUUCGGGAGAAGGGGUGCCACCGCAAGGUGGUCGCAGUGAAGAGGCCCAGGCGACUGUUUACCAAAAACACAGGUCUCCGCUAAGUCGCAAGACGAUGUAUGGGGGCUGACGCCUGCCCAGUGCCGGAAGGUUAAGGAAGCUGGUCAGCGUAAGCGAAGCUAGCGACUGAAGCCCCGGUGAACGGCGGCCGUAACUAUAACGGUCCUAAGGUAGCGAAAUCCCUUGUCGGGUAAGUUCCGACCCGCACGAAAGGCGUAACGAUCUGGGCGCUGUCUCGGAGAGAGGCUCGGCGAAAUAGAAUUGUCUGUGAAGAUGCGGACUACGUGCACCCGGACAGAAAGACCCUAUGAAGCUUUACUGUAGCUUGGUAUUGUGCCCGGGCUCUGAAUGCGCAGGAUAGGUGGGAGGCUUUGAUCCAUUGCUUGUGGGUGAUGGUGAGCCAACGGUGAGAUACCACUCUUUCAGAGCUAGGGUUCUAACGGUCACCCGUCAUCCGGGGACCGGACAGUAUCAGGUGGGCAGUUUGACUGGGGCGGUCGCCUCCUAAAAGGUAACGGAGGCGCGCAAAGGUUUGCUCAGGCUGGUUGGAAAUCAGCCGACGAGUGUAAAAGCAGAAGCAAGCUUGACUGUGAGACCUACAAGUCGAACAGGGACGAAAGUCGGCUUUAGUGAUCCGACGGUUCUGAGUGGAAGGGCCGUCGCUCAACGGAUAAAAGUUACUCUAGGAUAACAGGCUGAUCUCCCCCAAGAGUUCACAUCGACGGGGAGGUUUGGCACCUCGAUGUCGGCUCAUCGCAACCUGGGGCUGAAGUCGGUCCCAAGGGUUGGGCUGUUCGCCCAUUAAAGCGGUACGCGAGCUGGGUUCAGAACGUCGUGAGACAGUUCGGUCCAUAUCCGGUGCAUGCGCAGGAAUAUUGAGAGGAUUUCUCCCUAGUACGAGAGGACCGGGAGGAACGCACCUCUGGUGUGCCAGUUAUCGUGCCAACGGUAAACGCUGGGUAGCCAUGUGCGGAGAGGAUAACCGCUGAAAGCAUCUAAGUGGGAAGCCCACCUCAAGAUGAGUAUUCCCAUGGCGUUAGCCAGUAAGGUCACGGGCAGAACACCCGUUGAUAGGCUCUACGUGGAAGCCGGGUAACCGGUGAAGCGGAGGAGUACUAAUAGACCGAGGGCUUGA
rnacentral:rRNA from 1 species